rnacentral:rRNA from 1 species
CGGGUGAGUAACACGUGGGUAACCUGCCUGUAAGACUGGGAUAACUCCGGGAAACCGGGGCUAAUACCGGAUGGUUGUUUGAACCGCAUGGUUCAGACAUAAAAGGUGGCUUCGGCUACCACUUACAGAUGGACCCGCGGCGCAUUAGCUAGUUGGUGAGGUAACGGCUCACCAAGGCAACGAUGCGUAGCCGACCUGAGAGGGUGAUCGGCCACACUGGGACUGAGACACGGCCCAGACUCCUACGGGAGGCAGCAGUAGGGAAUCUUCCGCAAUGGACGAAAGUCUGACGGAGCAACGCCGCGUGAGUGAUGAAGGUUUUCGGAUCGUAAAGCUCUGUUGUUAGGGAAGAACAAGUGCCGUUCAAAUAGGGCGGCACCUUGACGGUACCUAACCAGAAAGCCACGGCUAACUACGUGCCAGCAGCCGCGGUAAUACGUAGGUGGCAAGCGUUGUCCGGAAUUAUUGGGCGUAAAGGGCUCGCAGGCGGUUUCUUAAGUCUGAUGUGAAAGCCCCCGGCUCAACCGGGGAGGGUCAUUGGAAACUGGGGAACUUGAGUGCAGAAGAGGAGAGUGGAAUUCCACGUGUAGCG